GGCGGCAGGGCUAACACAUGCAAGUCGAGCGGCAGCGGGGGGAAGCUUGCUUCCCCGCCGGCGAGCGGCGGACGGGUGAGUAAUGUCUGGGGAUCUGCCUGAUGGAGGGGGAUAACUACUGGAAACGGUAGCUAAUACCGCAUAACGUCGCAAGACCAAAGUGGGGGACCUUCGGGCCUCACGCCAUCGGAUGAACCCAGAUGGGAUUAGCUAGUAGGUGAGGUAACGGCUCACCUAGGCGACGAUCCCUAGCUGGUCUGAGAGGAUGACCAGCCACACUGGAACUGAGACACGGUCCAGACUCCUACGGGAGGCAGCAGUGGGGAAUAUUGCACAAUGGGGGAAACCCUGAUGCAGCCAUGCCGCGUGUGUGAAGAAGGCCUUCGGGUUGUAAAGCACUUUCAGCGGGGAGGAAGGGGACAAGGUUAAUAACCUUGUUCAUUGACGUUACCCGCAGAAGAAGCACCGGCUAACUCCGUGCCAGCAGCCGCGGUAAUACGGAGGGUGCAAGCGUUAAUCGGAAUGACUGGGCGUAAAGCGCACGCAGGCGGUCUGUUAAGUUGGAUGUGAAAUCCCCGGGCUUAACCUGGGAACUGCAUUCAAAACUGACAGGCUAGAGUCUCGUAGAGGGGGGUAGAAUUCCAGGUGUAGCGGUGAAAUGCGUAGAGAUCUGGAGGAAUACCGGUGGCGAAGGCGGCCCCCUGGACGAAGACUGACGCUCAGGUGCGAAAGCGUGGGGAGCAAACAGGAUUAGAUACCCUGGUAGUCCACGCUGUAAACGAUGUCGAUUUGGAGGUUGUGCCCUUGAGGCGUGGCUUCCGGAGCUAACGCGUUAAAUCGACCGCCUGGGGAGUACGGCCGCAAGGUUAAAACUCAAAUGAAUUGACGGGGGCCCGCACAAGCGGUGGAGCAUGUGGUUUAAUUCGAUGCAACGCGAAGAACCUUACCUACUCUUGACAUCCAGCGAACCCUGUAGAGAUGCGGGGGUGCCUUCGGGAACGCUGAGACAGGUGCUGCAUGGCUGUCGUCAGCUCGUGUUGUGAAAUGUUGGGUUAAGUCCCGCAACGAGCGCAACCCUUAUCCUCUGUUGCCAGCACUUCGGGUGGGAACUCAGGGGAGACUGCCGGUGAUAAACCGGAGGAAGGUGGGGAUGACGUCAAGUCAUCAUGGCCCUUACGAGUAGGGCUACACACGUGCUACAAUGGCGCAUACAAAGAGAAGCGACCUCGCGAGAGCAAGCGGACCUCAUAAAGUGCGUCGUAGUCCGGAUUGGAGUCUGCAACUCGACUCCAUGAAGUCGGAAUCGCUAGUAAUCGUAGAUCAGAAUGCUACGGUGAAUACGUUCCCGGGCCUUGUACCCACCGCCCGUCACACCAUGGGAGUGGGUUGCAAAAGAAGUAGGCUGCUUAACCU
rnacentral:rRNA from 1 species